rnacentral:misc_RNA from 1 species
GACAGAGGGUGCAAGCGUUGUUCGGAAUUAUUGGGCGUAAAGGGCGCGUAGGCGGCCGCGUAAGUCGAAUGUGAAAGCCCAGGGCUCAACCUUGGAAGUGCAUUCGAAACUGCGUAGCUUGAGUCUCGGAGAGGGUAGCGGAAUUCCCAGUGUAGAGGUGAAAUUCGUAGAUAUUGGGAGGAACACCAGUGGCGAAGGCGACUGCCUGGACGGUGACUGACGCUGAGGCGCGAGAGCGUGGGUAGCAAACAGG